rnacentral:rRNA from 1 species
AACGAACGCUGGCGGCGUGGAUAAGACAUGCAAGUCGAACGGGACAGACCGAGUAGCAAUAUUUGGAAUGUUCCGUGGCGAACGGGUGCGUAACACGUGGAUAACAUUCCGGAAAGCGGGGAAUAGCCCAGGGAAACUUGGAUUAAUACCGCAUGUGGCCGCAAGGCUAAAGACGGGGACCGCAAGGCCUGUCACUUUCCGAUUGGUCCGCGGCCUAUCAGCUAGUUGGCGGGGUAAUGGCCCACCAAGGCUACGACGGGUAGCUGGUCUUAGAGGACGACCAGCACCACUGGAACUGAGACACGGUCCAGACACCUACGGGUGGCAGCAGUCGAGAAUCGUUCACAAUGGGGGCAACCCUGAUGGAGCGACGCCGCGUGGAGGAUAAGGUCUUCGGAUUGUAAACUCCUGUCAUGCGAGAACAAGGUACUCAGGCUAAUAACCUGAUUGUUUGAUGGUACCGCAAGAGGAAGAGACGGCUAACUCUGUGCCAGCAGCCGCGGUAAGAC